rnacentral:rRNA from 1 species
CGGUAGGAGAACCAACAGGGUAUUGCCUCAGUAACGGCGAGUGAAGCGGCAACAGCUCAAAUUUGAAAUCUGGCUCCUUUCCGGCGUCCGAGUUGUAAUUUGUAGAGGAUGCUUCGGCUUACGCCCCGGUCUAAGUUCCUUGGAACAGGACGUCACAGAGGGUGAGAAUCCCGUUUGUGGCCGGCGGCUUCCGCCAUGUGAAGCUCCUUCGACGAGUCGAGUUGUUUGAGAAUGCAGCUCUAAAUGGGAGGUAUAUUUCUUCUAAAGCUAAAUACCGGCCAGAGACCGAUAGCGCACAAGUAGAGUGAUCGAAAGAUGAAAAGCACUUUGGAAAGAGAGUUAAAAAGUACGUGAAAUUGUUGAAAGGGAAGCGCUUGCGACCAGACUUGCCCGCGGAUGCUCAGCCGGUCCUUCGGCCGGUGCACUCUUCCGCGGUCAGGCCAGCAUCAGUUCGGGCGGUCGGAUAAAGGCCUCGGGAAUGUGGCUCCUCUCGGGGAGUGUUAUAGCCCUUGGUGCAAUACGGCCCGCCUGGACUGAGGCCCGCGCUUCGGCUAGGAUGCUGGCGUAAUGGUCGUAAGCGGCCCGUCUUGAAACACGGACCAAGGAGUCUAACAUCUAUGCGAGUGUUUGGGUGUCAAACCCGUGCGCGAAAUGAAAGUGAACGGAGGUGGGAACCCUCGGGUGCACCAUCGACCGAUCCUGAUGUCUUCGGAUGGAUUUGAGUAAGAGCAUAGCUGUUGGGACCCGAAAGAUGGUGAACUAUGCCUGAAUAGGGUGAAGCCAGAGGAAACUCUGGUGGAGGCUCGCAGCGGUUCUGACGUGCAAAUCGAUCGUCAAAUUUGGGUAUAGGGGCGA